ACCCGUAUUUAUUUAACAGUUGAAACGGCUCAAACGUUUUAAUGCAAGAAAACGUCUUAAAAAUGUCUUAGAAGUUUGUGAAACGUCCUAGAAACAAUUGAAACGGCUCAAACGUCUUGAGUUUUAGAGCUAACGUCUUAGUUGUCAUCUGAAACGUCUCGAGUUUUGGAGCUGAAGCAAACGUCUCGCGCCAUGCAAAUGUGAAGCUGAGAUCUUUCAAGCCAGCUCAACCGGCUAGCCAUGUGGAAACGUCUCAAGCCAUGUGAAGACGUCUCAACUAAGACUUCUGAGACGUUACAGGGUAUGUCGGACACGUGUAUGCAUGUGAUUAGUUAGACGUUAAGACGUUUCAGGCAUAUGGUAGCGUCUCUACAAGACGUUUGCUUUGGCUAAUUUCGAAAAUCUGACCAGGUCAAGGUUAAUCUUGCUAUUUCCUAAAAAAACUAUUUCCCUUUAUUUUGAUUAUUUAAGGACAAAAAAAAAAAAUAGUUCUUUUCUUUUUUUAGUUGCAUGCGGCCCCCACUUUUUUGUUCAAAUACACGCACCUAACUAGGUCACCAAUAGACGAAUAUAAAGAACCAUGUUAGAACCUUAAGAUUGAAAAGUAACUAAUGUUUUUUUUUUUUUUUUUUGAUAUGAUUUCAUUUGAAGAUUUAUGUUUACCGUGCCUUCUUUUAUGAAAUGAUGUGAUGAAUAUUGGUUCCUUGGUGGAUCUAGGAAUUUUUCCAUCAGGGUGCGGACAAUUUUUAAAAAUUUUAGGCCCCAAGGUAUAUAAGUAAAAAAUCGGUUCGUAUCGAGUCGGGUCGGGUCAUGUAAAACAAAAGAACAUCGAACUAAAUUUAUAUAAUCAUAAAAAAUAUGUCAAACCAUGUUACAAACAUAAUUAAAACGUCAUCUUACGGGUUUUCAUUUUUUGAAAUCUAUCCAAAACAUGGCUCCAUAACAUAUUACAUAAUAUAUCAACUAUUCAAGCCCUAGAAAUCAUAAUGUAAAUAACCAUAAAAAUCAUCUAAACAACAUAUACACCAUAAAAAGAAAAAGCCAAACAUUCUUCACUAACAUAUAUAACCCACCAGAUCUACUAUGUGGUGUAUGCGGCUAUAAAAAAAGGCAGAAUCUCAUCACUAACAAAAUAUAACCCACCAUAUAACAUAAUGAAAAACAAAACAAAGCACAUGUCUACUGUCAUGGUUAGUAUGCGGCUAAUAUCAACCAAAAAAUCAACCGAAAUUCAUCAAAAAUAACAAAGAAAUUUACCCAUGUUCGAUCGGCGGUGUUAUGGUAGCUGAUUACGGUGGUAUAGAGAGAGCGGGAGAGAAUAUGACCUUAGGUACUUAUGGAGCUUGCACUAGGAAGGAGCAGGUCGUUGUGGAGCAUGGAUCGUGGAUGCCAUGUUAAAACUCUUAAACAAUCAAACUUAACAUUACUUUGGGUUUACAUUUACAUACUUUGGAUUUCCAUUAUUACGCUUCCGCUAAUGAUACUAUGUUUGGUUUAGAACAUCAAUUGUAUUGAAUUGGGUUUUACGAACUAUCUUAUUUAUAUUAUGCUAUGU
rnacentral:lncRNA from 1 species